rnacentral:rRNA from 1 species
AUUAAGCGCUGGCGGCAUGCCUUACACAUGCAAGUCGAACGGCAGCGCGGGGUGACCUGGCGGCGAGUGGCGAACGGGUGAGUAAUGCAUCGGAACGUGCCCUGGAAUGGGGGAUAACGUAGCGAAAGUUACGCUAAUACCGCAUAUUCUGUGAGCAGGAAAGCAGGGGGACCGCAAGGCCUUGCGCUCUUUGAGCGGCCGAUGUCAGAUUAGCUAGUUGGUGAGGUAACGGCUUACCAAGGCGACGAUCUGUAGCGGGUCUGAGAGGAUGAUCCGCCACACUGGAACUGAGACACGGUCCCAGACUCCUACGGGAGGCAGCAGUGGGGAAUUUUGGACAAUGGGCGGAAGCCUGAUCCAGCCAUGCCGCGUGAGUGAAGAAGGCCUCGGUUGUAAAGGUACUCUUUCGGUCGGGGAAGGAAAGUACGCACGGGUGAACAGCCUGUGUGGAGUGACGGUACCUGAAGAAGAAGACACCGGC